AACAGAUUGAAAACUUUGCUAAAUAAACGCGGUGUUUUCCAUAAAAAGAAACGUAGCUGUAUUGUAUUUUUGAUCUCGACUCUGAAGAAACUACGAAGAACUAACUGUAUUUAAAGUGGUUCCGACCCGUGCAGGCGAAGAGAUGAAAUUGUCUGUGAUUUUCUUUAAUUGUUGUUUAUAUGUGGUCUUAUAGAUGAAAAUAGCUUUCAACAUGCCGGAACGACUUUCUAAGAUACACUGAUAUUAUAUAGC